CUCAAACUACCAAGGUAGCUCCACAGACUGACUCCUGGUAUGCAUAGAGGGCAGGCAAAUGCUGACUGGAGGAAAGGGUUUAGAGAGUUGAAGGGGAGAGAGACCAUCCUAGUGGGAGGAGAAUGUGAGUGAAGGCUUAUGGAUGAGAAGGAACCAGGCAGAGGGACCAAAGCAGGUGCCCUGACCAAGCAGAAGCAGAACAUCAGGGCGAAAUGUGCUGUAGUAAUGGAUCAGGAAACACAAGAUUCCAUCUAAUUAAUCAGAUUAACAGGAUAAAAGAGAAAAACUAUAUAGUCAUUUCAACAGAUGCAAAAAUCAGUUUCUCUCUGACACGCAGCAGAUGAGCACGGCUGACUGUCAUGGCAAGGGCACUGUGGCUUGUUCCCCUCCUGUGUCAGCUUGUCCUUGGCCAGCUAGUAGGUAAGCAGCUGGGUGUGGAGAGGGUUUCUGGCCCUGGGGCUCAAGAAAUCCUACUGAAGGCAAGGCCAGCCCCAUGACCUGGUGGUAUCUCCAUUAGCUGUGACACCUACCAAUACCUACUUCCUCCCAUGCGGAUUCAGGCAUGAAGGCAGCAUCUUAACUGUCAUGUGUUGCACUGUGUCCCCUGAAAGAAAUCCUAACUCCCUGGCACCUGUGAAUGUAACGUUAUUUGAAAAUAGGGUCUUUGCAGGUGAUUAAGUAGAAAUACAGUCAUU
rnacentral:lncRNA from 1 species